UUGAAGAUUAAGGAAGCAGAGAAAGCGAAGAUCGUUGCCGAGAGAGAUCAUUAUCUUGCAGAAAGGAAUCAUUACUUCAGACAGAUGAAGAUUCACCAGAAGGAGAUAGGGAGAUUGCAGCAGGAGAACACUGAGCUUAGGUUCGCGGUGAAGUUUACCAAGAUGGUUGAUGAUGCAGAGCCGUCUGUGGGACCAAUUACUUCAGACAGAUGAAGAUUCACCAGAAGGAGAUAGGGAGAUUGCAGCAGGAGAACACUGAGCUUAGGUUCGCGGUGAAGUUUACCAAGA
rnacentral:lncRNA from 1 species